GGAGAGAUGCGAGAGCGGUUUAAUCGGCAGACCUGGAAAGUCUGUGUAUUCGUAAGAGUACCGAGGGUUCGAAUCCCUCUCUCUCCG
rnacentral:tRNA from 1 species